AUGAUGUGCAGAGUAUAAUUAAUGGGCUAUGUUGAAGAAAAAGUCGAAAACCUUCAUUCUCCAGCUGGAGGUGUAAUUUAAUUAUGACACGAAAAGAUCUGCUAGAGUGAAGGUAACCUAUUUAGCUUGAAUUGUAGUGAACAGACCAUUAAUUGCUGUUCAUUAACGGAGGUUGUGAAGCAGCUGAUUAGAUGCCGUGGGGUUUCCUGAAGACCUGUCAUGCGAGGGGCAAAGGGCAGAGCCUCCCACCCCUACCCCUGUCUGGAUUGGCACCAGAUUGCACGUACUGAGUCCGUUCUCGGGCUGCCCGCAAAGACACGUUGCAUCCUGCCGCAGUGACAGGUGGUGGAUCAGUCAACCCGCGUGCCUGACAGGAAGGUCCUGGGGUUUGGAGAUGUUGGACCAGACGCAUGUCACCUUGCAGGGGACCUUACGCUCUCCCCUGCAAGCCUUCUAACAACAGCCUGUCUCCAAUGAUGGAAUGAGUGCAGCCUGUCUAUGUCGUACACAACGGCAAGAUCUAUUCCCCUGUAGGCCAGUCUGCAUUAGCAUUAGGAUAUCCAAAGAGCUAGAAUCAACUUUAUUCGCCAUGUGCAGCCCGAGAAUUUGUUUUGGUGUAGUUGGUCACAUUGUAGUAAAAUUAAUUAAACAAAAUGUACCUGUAAUAUAAGAGAGUAUUAACGUGAACCAAUAACUAGCCGACAACGCAGCGUAUGCACAAGAAAGUAAAACAAGAUAUUUGGAUUAGGUAGGGCGACUGUAUUUGGUUUUGCAACGGGGCCAAAGAGAGGCAUGAAAGCUAUGCAUAUAUGCACACAGUCUAUCUGAAUGUAGAAAGCAGAUGUCAAAAUGAAAAUCAACAUUUCCUGUAUUUUUAGUCCCAAAAAAGAGGACACAUGUGGGAAAAUGAGGACAUAUGGUCACCUUAGGAUAAGGUGCAAUGAGAGCCAGUGCAACGACAUCCUUAUACAACACAGAUGUGCAAAAUUAAUUAACAGACAGGCAAGGAAUGAGAAUGAAAUCCCUGCACCUCUGCAGUGGACAAAAUAAUGACUGCACCUUCAAAUGCUCACACCUGUUCCACCAUGCUGCACUAGGGCCCACCGUUGUCAUGACAAUCAGCCAACAGGUAAACGACUGAUACUUGCUUUUUGUGAUUCUCCUUUACUGGAACUCAUCACACCUACAGUACAGCAUGUAACUGGAAUCAGACCUUCAGCGACGCAUUGGGCCGCGUCAUAGCAGGGUUUACAGUAGUGAAUUUGCGGUGAAAGGCAUGUUUGAGCUAUUGAUAAAUUACUCCGUUUUCUUUACUGUUCAAACCUGACUGUUACACAACUCUGUGAAAUUACUGUUUCCCCCAGGAGUGUAUUAACCUGUUAAUUAAUGAUAAUUAAUCUUGGCACUUUAUUGUCAUUAUGAUUUCCUCGCUUAGCGAUGCUUUUAUUCAAUAAAGCACUAAUUAAGAAAUUGAAAAUGAAAAAGGUUCCGGUUCCAAGCCUAGAGUUAUGGUUCCUGUUAUGAUACUGAGUAUAGUGCUUAUUUGGAAAAAUACGGUGGUAUAAAUGUGUAUAAAACUGCAAUAUUCAUUUUAAUGAAAGCUUUGGCUAAGAAAUUAAUUAAAACGGCAUCCUGUUUGAGAUGGCAUACUCUCUACACCUAUUUCUAUAGAUGAAACAGAUCAAAUUAAAUCAUUAGUCGAUGCUAAAGCAGUUGUAGGCAAACUUUAGCUUAGCUUUGGUUUUACCUGCUGCGCUACAUUAUGCAUGGCUUUUUGUCUCAUCGAUAGAGAUUAAGGUCGGUUUGAACUUCCAAAAAAAUUCCAUUCUCUAUAAACUGUAUAUUUACCCCCGCUAACUGAAUUAAUUUGGAAUUCAUAUUCCAAGCUUUUUCGACAGAUUACACCAUCCCAGGGUUAUAAAAUCCUGUUCACUAAUUUUUAGACUUCCACAAUUUACAAUAUUGAAACGAUUCCCGUUAUUCUAUAAGAUGUAUAGUUUGCAUGUCCUCCCCAUGUGAUGUGGAAUUCCUCCAGGCCCAAAGAUGUGCUAAAGCUGCCCACAUGGUUGUGUGUCAAGCAGGAUAAGCUGUUAGACACUACAUGGAUGGAUGGAUUUUUCUGAUACCUGAUUUGAAAAAAAAUGAAAGCAAAGUAGUUAAAUCCUCUUGGAGUUUUAUAAAAGCAUACAUAGUGGCUCUUUGCUUAACAUUUCAAACACAGCCGGUUUUAAUUCCCUGCCAGAAACACAUGGACCUCACUCAGAUUCUGAAAUCUAACCUCCAAAAGGUCCUCUGUGGGUGUAAUUUCUGCCAGACCGAGCUUGUUCCAGGACUGCAAAUUUCCACCAACGGGGACAUUAGAAAAAAUGGGAAGACGAGGCUGUUCCAUCCUGGGCCGGAGUCCUGAGUGUCCUGAGGUCACGUUUGAUGACGUACCUGGUAAGAAGGCCAGCAGUGCAGUUCACCGUAAGGUCAAAAAGCGGGGACUUAUGAAGAGGAAGGACGGGUAGGCCUGUGAUACCCGGCACAAGGUUAUACCACAGCCUUAAGGAACCUUCUUAUCCAACGUUCAAUUAAAAGAAAUCAGAAGUGGUCACGGGAAACGCCAGGGGUGGCACUAAGGCUAAAAUAUUCUUUAGUUCCCCCCAAGAUCUCUAAUUAUGCUCUAAUUAGUCUAAAUAUUAUGGGCCAUUUCCAUCAACUACCCCCCCAGUAAAGAUUUAGCCCCCCUUUUCAUAAGUCUCCAUUGAUGCUCCUGGGAAACGCUAAUAUAUGUGAAGUAUCUCAACAAAAGUAUUGGAACGUUCCUGCUCUUUAGCACCCGGAGAAUUUUAAUAGAAGCAUAGAUGGUUUCAGAGGCCUGCUAUUGUUCGAUGUCCUUGCCUUUUGUGGCUGAUAUAUUUCCAUAACAAAACGCAACAUUUUCCCACAUCUGUACCAGAAGUUGGCCAUUGCCGCUAUCAUCGUCAGUUUGGGAAGGUUUUAUAUGAUCUGUCUUGCAGUUUCCACAUCCCUUCCAUUCCUUAGCUACUCUUGGUGGUAGCAUCAUAUAACUGGUGUUUUUAUAAAUCCUGGAGGAUUUCCUUCAGGACCUCCUGGGAUCCCCCCCCCCCCAAACUGCACUGCACUGUACUGCCUUGAGAGAUUAGGGAAUGUCACCUGUCUGACCAAUUAUGGUGUCAAGGGUCCCGGUACAGAGCGGUCAUUAGACCUUUGUACUGUCUUAGCGACGCGCCAGUAAAAUAUGCCAACCGGGGGCGAAAUCUGCACUCACGGUAGGUGUGAGGCUUUAAAUCACUGACGUCAACAUCCCUCUCUGAGCGGAGCCAAAGAGCCGAAAGGCUUGCCCAAAUCAUGCACACCCUGCCAGCCUGCCAGUGUUGCAUCCUGCCCCGGUGAGGACCCCACUGGGACCACUGCUUCCUCUUCCUCGCCAGGUAACUCUCCCACGCUGAGUGUACGGGGGUGGAACUGAGGUCAACAUGGAGUCAAGGAGGCUCAUCUGCAAGCUUGGCUCGUCACCAGUCUGGCUUGUAUGUGGUCAGACUCCUCUCUCAUUCUAAAUAUUCUGAUUGCGCCUCCGCAUGUUUGGGCCUUUAAACCCUGUGUCUGAACUAAAUGUGUGUAUACAUGAGCAUCUCUCCUGUGUGUAUCUGCGUAAAUGCGUCUGUGUGUGAGAGGUGUGUUUACAUGUUUUUGUCCAUUAACAUUUUUGUGUCGCACAGGUGGUUCUCUGUGCCCCCCGUCGUGUGUCAGCGAAAAGGACGACGUGCAAGGCGAUGGAAACGACAGCGUCUGCUGUCAAUUUUCCAGCUUAAACAAGAGGCUCGUUGGUCACCAGGUCUUACAUGUGUGUGUCUGUGCGUGUCUGUGCAUGUGUGUCUGUUCGUGUGCAUAUAUGACCUGUGCUGGCAAAAUGAGUCCGAAUGAGGAAAUUUUCAAAAUGGAGUUAUUAUUAUUGUUAGAUUCUCCUUUUUAAAACCUUCAAAAUGAUGUAUGGUUUGUUGGAAUCGGACAAAAAAUGACCGAGUUACAUCCGUUAGUUGUUUACAUCAACAGGGCUUUAUACAAUCAAGUUCUAUUGGUUCAGAGUGAUGUCAUUGGAAAUUCUAUGCAGAUUUUUAGAACGUAGGCGAGCCUCGCUUCACGGUGAUACCAAACAACCGGUGGGGGGAUUCCCAGUCAUGCCGUGAGUGAGAGGAGAAAAACACGUAUUUUCUAAGAAAAUUUAAGAUAAAGGACUAAUUUCUGAAGACAAAGCCUGUACAAAACAUUCAAAUUAUGAUGGUUCAUGGUAUUUAUUUGUUAUUUUGAUUAUUGGGAUCGAUAAAUGAUGACUUAAUGGACUAAUUUUUGGGAAAAUCUCAAUUUCGACGAAAAUUAACUUUGACAUUUUUGACUCUAGCUCAUAAUUAGCCUUCCGACUCAUUUUACCAGCACGGGUCACAUGUGUGUGUGCAUGCAUAAGCAACUCUUGGCUUUUCCCCCAUGGAGUGCCAGGUGAGGGAGCCCAACAAAUUAUUCAUCCAGAUAAAUAACUCUGAGACUCAUAUUAAAAUUAAGACGCUGUGAAUUAUAAUUUUGCCAUCUUGCCCAUUUGCCCUCUGCCGCCCUCUAGAGUCUGGUUCCUCUCAUGGUUUCUUCCUUCUAGGGAGUUUUUCUGUCGCCUCUGGCUUACUCACUGGGAGCUUUGGGCAGGGAUAAUGUAAAGAACUUUGAGACAAUGCAAUGUUAUGAAAAUGCGCUAUACAAAUAAAAUUUGAAUUGAAAAUAAA